UACAGAGGAUGCAAGCGUUAUCCGGAAUGAUUGGGCGUAAAGCGUCUGUAGGUGGCUUUUUAAGUCCGCCGUGAAAUCCCUGGGCUCAACCCAGGGCCUGCAUCGGAAACUGUCGGGCUUGAGUAUGGGAGAGGUGAGUGGAAUUUCCGGUGUAGCGGUGAAAUGCGUAGAUAUCGGAAGGAACACCUGUGGCGAAAGCGGCUCACUGGACCAUUACUGACGCUGAGGCACGAAAGCUAGGGGAGCAAACAGG
rnacentral:rRNA from 1 species